UAACAUUUCUAGCUGCUAGAAAGGCGGCGGGGAAAGGAGCAUCCAUACGCGCACGCAAUUAGACCCCCGCCGUGAGAUGUGUCGGCGGCUGUGAGGCAGGUGGGGACAUGCCUGGAGGCUGAAAGGGCUUCCGGACGCAUAUAUCGCACCAGGCGCCGUCGUACGCCGGACCAACGAUGCAUCAUAACAUUUCUAGUUGCUAGAAAGGCGGCAGGAAUAGGAGCAUCCAUACGGUCACGCAAUUAGACCCCCGCCGUGAGAUGCGUCGGUGGCUGUGAGGCAGGUGGGGACAUGCCUGGAGGCUGAAAGGGCUUCCGGACGCAUAUAUCGCACCAGGCGCCGUCGUACGCCGGACCAACGAUGCAUCAUAACAUUUCUAGCUGCUAGAAAGGCGGCGGGGAAAGGAGCAUCCAUACGCGUCACGCAAUUAGACCCCCGCCGUGAGAUGCGUCGGCGGCUGUGAGGCAGGUGGGGACAUGCCUGGAGGCUGAAAGGGCUUCCGGACGCAUAUAUCGCACCAGGCGCCGUCGUACGCCGGACCACCGAUGCAUCAUAACAGUAACUAGCUGCUAGAAAGGCGGCGGGGUAGGAGCAUCCAUACGGCACGCAAUUAGACCCCCGCCGUGAGAUGCGUCGGCGGCUGUGAGGCAGGUGGGGACAUGCCUGGAGGCUGAAAGGGCUUCCGGACGCAUAUAUCGCACCAGGCGCCGUCGUACGCCGGACCAACGAUGCAUCAUAACAUUUCUAGUUGUUAGAAAGGCGGCGGGGAAAGGAGCAUCCAUACGGCACGCAAUUAGACCCCCGCCGUGAGAUGCGUCGGUGGCUGUGAGGCAG
rnacentral:lncRNA from 1 species